rnacentral:rRNA from 1 species
UACGGAGGGGGCUAGCGUUGUUCGGAAUUACUGGGCGUAAAGCGUACGUAGGCGGCUUUGUAAGUUAGAGGUGAAAGCCCGGGGCUCAACUCCGGAAUUGCCUUUAAGACUGCAUCGCUUGAAUCAUGGAGAGGUGAGUGGAAUUCCGAGUGUAGAGGUGAAAUUCGUAGAUAUUCGGAAGAACACCAGUGGCGAAGGCGACUCACUGGACAGGUAUUGACGCUGAGGUACGAAAGCGUGGGGAGCAAACAGG